rnacentral:lncRNA from 1 species
CUUCACUGUGACAGCUCCCUCAACAGUUCUGUGUGAACCUGGAAAUAAUACGGUCUGAGGGCCCCCCGAUCUAAGAGCCCCAUCUUUAGAUUCCUUGCCUAGGGCAACAUCUUUGACACCGCAGAUUGCUUCUAAAUGACUUGGAAUGGAACAAGUGAGUCAACUAAAAGCAAUGAGAAUUCCCACUGAGUUCACUGGUGAGCCAUGGCACUUCCGGGUCUGUGUCAUUACAGCUGAGAAGACUAGAAAAUGGAGUGUUUUGAUCAACAAGAUCACUUUCGGAAGACAGAAUGGCCCACAAGUCUGUCUACAAGUCUAACAAGAACAGAGAUAUAGCAACCAAAUCCAAAGCCCUGGUACAUGUUCCAGUACUGAAAAACAGAGGCUGGCCUGGAACUCAUGGUCCUGGAACACGUGCUGAUUACAUCAGUAUCCCCUGUGUUAGCCUUAUGGUCAUGUUUCUCCUCGUCUGGCAAGAAAUGGACCUUAAAGGAAGAACUGACUCCCAUAGUGUAAGAGGAAAGCUGUACUCUAGACAGCUGUGUGGCAAGUCGCUGGAACCUAUUUGUAGAGGAGCCAGCAAGAGGCACUGA